UGCAUGUCUAAGUACAGGCCUACCUAAGGCGAAACCGCGAAUGGCUCAUUAAAUCAGUCAUGAUUCAUUGGAUGUUGAGUAAAAUCAUUUCCAAGGAAAUCUUUUACUCGGAUAACUGUGGUAAUUCUAGAGCUAAUACAGGCAGUUGAGCUCCGACCCCCUUUUCGGAUAACCUUUUCGGAGGCCCGUUAAGGGGGGAAGGGCGCUUUUAUUAGAAUCAAAGACCGACGGCAAGGCGGAGACUUCGGUCGCGUCGAAAUCCAAAACGGUAUAUGAUGACUCUGAAUAACCACGCCGAGCGCUGAGGUCUUAAGAACCGGCGCCGUAUCCUUCGAGUGUCUGCCUUAUCAGCUUUCGAUUGUAGGUUAUACGCCUACAAUGGCUGUAACGGGUAACGGGGAAUUAGGGUUCGAUUCCGGAGAGGGAGCCUGAGAAACGGCUACCACAUCUAAGGAAGGCAGCAGGCACGCAAAUUACCCACUCCCGGCACGGGGAGGUAGUGACGAAAAAUAACGAUGCGGGACUCUUCCGAGGCCUCGCAAUCGGAAUGAGUUCGCUUUAAAUCCUCGAACGAGGAUCCAUUGGAGGGCAAGUCUGGUGCCAGCAGCCGCGGUAAUUCCAGCUCCAAUAGCGUAUAUUA
rnacentral:rRNA from 1 species